rnacentral:rRNA from 1 species
AGUGAACGCUGGCGGUAGGCCUAACACAUGCAAGUCGAACGGCAGCACAGUAAGAGCUUGCUCUUACGGGUGGCGAGUGGCGGACGGGUGAGGAAUACAUCGGAAUCUACUUUUUCGUGGGGGAUAACGUAGAGAAACUUACGCUAAUACCGCAUACGACCUACGGGUGAAGGCAGGGGAUCUUCGGACCUUGCGCGAUUGAAUGAGCCGAUGUCGGAUUAGCUAGUUGGCGGGGUAAAGGCCCACCAAGGCGACGAUCCGUAGCUGGUCUGAGAGGAUGAUCAGCCACACUGGAACUGAGACACGGUCCAGACUCCUACGGGAGGCAGCAGUGGGGAAUAUUGGACAAUGGGCGCAAGCCUGAUCCAGCCAUACCGCGUGGGUGAAGAAGGCCUUCGGGUUGUAAAGCCCUUUUGUUGGGAAAGAAAAGCAGCAGGUUAAUACCCCGCUGUUCUGACGGUACCCAAAGAAUAAGCACCGGCUAACUUCGUG